AUUUAUGAAAAGUGUAUGAAUGGGUAAUAGCAGCCGCGGUACUCGGGCUCGAAAUCCUAAUAACAACUAAAACAUUUUUGCUUUCCGUGGAGGGAAAUUGCGGAUAUCGUCCCCGAAAUACCGUUUUUGGGGUUCGGACUGCGUGAAAUGACGGUGUGUUUUGUGGUACAAGUUGUUAGGGCGCUAGCCAAGGGGUAGUUUCUCGGUGAUGGGUGAUGUCUGAAAGAGACCAGCAUGGAGAAUACGGGGCCCGACCUGUCUCAUCUUACUCCGGAAGAACGGGCCAUCAUCGAAUCGGUUAUGAUGAGGCAAAAACAGGAAGAGGAAAGGGAACAAGAAAUUCUGAGAAGAAAAGCGGACGAGGUCCAUAUCUUGGAAGAGACAAUUCGCGCCCGUAACGAAGAACAUAAAAAGGCGGGGGUCGAACUAGAGGCCACAUGCCACAUAUGUCUCAAAACUAAGUUUGCUGACGGGGUGGGACACAUUUGUAACUAUUGUUCUAUCAGAUGUUGCGCUAGAUGCGGUGGAAAAGUUACGCUUAGAUCAAAUAAGGUGGUUUGGAUUUGUAUCCUGUGUCGAAAAAAGCAGGAGCUGUUGAGUAAAACGGGGCAGUGGAUGUUUGGAGGUCCAAACGCCGAAACGGACUUACCGCAAUUACAACAAGCGCCGUCUGAUAAAAGGCCCAAAUUAGAAAGAGCGCACUCUGCGGCAGAAAAAGAAAAUCAACCUCUUCAAAGAUCGGGUAGCGUAUUGAGGAGACAAUAUUCAGAACAAGAGCCCAGGGCGCCGUCUUGCGAAAGGUACCAACAAUAUAACGAAGAGGACCCUAGGUUUUAUAAAGGAGAGCUGGAAGGACUGAUGAGGACACAUCCGCAUCUGGUACCAAGGAGGUAUCCAGAGCCUGAAUCAGAACCCGUUCAAAUGGACCAUUCUCAACAGAGGGUUCAAUCUAUAGCGAGCGGUACCAAGAAACAUAAGAGAAGCGGUUCAUCGAAAAAACAUCAACAACUCCCCCCACCCCAAGUACAACUUCAUACUUAUUCUAGUUCAGAAGAAGAUUUGAAAUCGACUCCUGAGUACGGAAGCGAUGAACGCGACAGCGAAAAGGGUAAUAUUGGCAACUGGCCCCCCUUAAGCCAUUAUAUAGUUGCACCAGUACACCAACACAGACCUCUACAAGAUGUAACUGCGGAUAAUAGAUGUUUCACAGAAAGAAGAAAGAAAACUGUUCGUUUUGAUCAUCACGAUAGUAGUCGACAAGGUUCACAAGAUUCUCACAGGGAUUCUGGUAUCGAUACAUCUUCCACAUUCACUAGUAGCGAGGAUUCGACCAGGGGGGACAUGCCCAAGCAUCCAUUAUCUUGGCAAGUUUCUGCUGAUGGUACUAAAAUUAUCGGUCACAUGAUUUUGAGAAGAAAUUCUAGAGAUACGUCCGGCUCUAGUGCCACCAUAUUAGGUUUGAAAAUUGUUGGUGGAAAAUUAUUAGAAAACGGACUAACAGGAGCUAUAAUAGAAAAAGUUAAGAAAGGUAGUAUAGCUGAUGUGGAAGGACAACUUAGACCCGGCGAUGAGGUCAUCGAAUGGAAUGGUAGAUCGUUGCAGGGGAAAACGUUUAAUGAAGUGGCUGAAAUAAUAGCGGAAAGUAGACAAGAAGCUAAUGUAGAAUUGAUAGUUUCUAGGAGUAUGAGCAGCAGGAAGGUUGCGCAAGCCAAUUGGAGACAGUCAGUGGCUCAGAGAGGUCAGCAGACGUCUGUCGGUGGCCUUCAUCAGUGGCACCCUGAAUCGGAAAUAUACGAGCGUCCCCACGUGCUGGUGACGUCACCCGGCAGUCCGGAGCGUAGCCAAGAUACAUCUCGGCAGGCGCUGGCACCGAGCAUUGGGGGUCGGAUCCAAGUUAGAGUGGAGUUCGACCCCUCCGCGUUGCAGUUGUUAGUCACCAUCGUCUGCGCCGCUGGUCUAACUCCUAGAUCGCCUCAACAACCAAGAAAUCCCUAUUGUAAGUUGUUUUUGUUGCCGGACCGAUCGGAGAAAAGUAAAAAGAGAACGAGGACUUUAGCGGGAACGACGGAGCCUAUGUGGAAUCAGACAUUCGUAUACUCGGGAUUGAGGAGGGCGGAUCUUAGACUACGGGCUUUGGAAAUAACUGUAUGGGAUUACGUUAGAUAUGGAGCUAAUGAUUUUUUAGGAGAAGCAAUAGUUGAGUUGUGGCCUUUGGAAGAUCAGCCUACCUGGAGGACUUUAGGUCCGCAUGAAGAAAUUGUUUUGACGCCUAGCGAACAUCUGUCUCCACCUAGUACGGGGUCCAGGUUUUCCGAUAGCGAUACACCAUCGGAGUGCGAUAUUGAAGGGGGAAGAGACCGACGAAACGCGGAUGGAGCUAGCGUGAGUAGCGUAGGUAGUUCUUCGAGUCCGCCGAGAGAAAGUGAAAGGAGAUCACGAAGAGAUCAAGAAACCAUGCAAGCAUAUCAUACGUAUAACAGCAGUAAGUCCGGAAUUAUAAGUCAUCGAUCACAUUCGGCGGCACCGUGCGAUUCCCCAAGUGUCCAUUUAUCAAGAUCCCGUUCAAAAUCACCACGACGUUCGGCUACCGAUCACCGAUCACUAUCACCACCGGACGUCCGCCUUACCGAAUACACACCAACGACGUACAAAAUGUCGCGUUUUCAAUCUCGAAGCGCUACAGCGACACCUACCGGUUCGCCGAAAAAACGUCAACUUCCUCAAGUUCCGCAAGCACUGGCUCGAGCUUUACAAGAAAGAGUCGCUCAGGAUUUGGAAGGAACGAGCAUCAGUACGAAGAAUAGGACAAGGUUUAUCCAAACGUACAGAAGUACUGGAUCUGGUUGGGAAAGAAGAUAUAGUGGUUUAAGUGAUAGCGACUUGGCGAACCAUUCAAGAUAUAAUACUAGAAGAUCGUUUUCUCCCGAAAAAGAGCGAGAGAGGGAUCCUUUAGGGCUAGUGGAUUUCGAUAGUGAUAUGGAAAGUGUGGCAUCAGUAACUAGCAGCGCUUUUUCAACACAGUCAGAAAGACCUCGAGGAACAAGAGGAUUGGGCACUGAAUACGGCUAUAGGACGAUGAAUUCGAGAAGUACUAGAGACAGAGACCAUGAGCCCAGGGAACCCAUAGAGCCUCUCGAUCCGCACCAUAACUAUCAUUUGAGCAACAAUCUUCACCAUCAUCACCACCACCAUCGUCAUCAUAGAGAUGGUAGCGUCAAAAGGGGGCAGUUCACCAGGAGUUUAUCGAAUACGGAACCGCCUAUGGAAGAAAAAACCGAUGGCAGUUUAAGCGAUACCGCCGUCAGCCACCUUCACGGUCUUGAAGUCCCCCAAAAAGACAUGAAUCGAAAAGACAGUCCUCGUGACAGAGACAGGGAUAGGACGGGUCAAUUUGUUGGUCUUAAUAAAAAGAGUAAUUCGACUAGCCAAUUAUCAGCAACAGGUCGAAAAAGAAGAAUGGGCUUCGGAAAACGAGGAAAAACUUCGUUUACUGUACUUAGAUCCGAAGAAGUUUUACCUGGUGAUGUGAGAUUAGCGAAGCAAGGAUCUUCUGCUUCGAGCGAUGGUGAAGGAUCAGCUGACGGUGACAGGUGGUCGCCUUCGUUGCGCUUAACAGCAGCCGGAGAAGGGCAACUGGCUGAAUUUAUAGAAGGUCUCGGUCCUGGACAGUUAGUUGGAAGACAAGUUUUAGGAUCACCUUCGUUAGGAGAUAUUCAAUUAGCCCUUUGUCAUCAAAAAGGCUUUCUGGAAGUAGAAGUUGUUAGAGCAAGAGAUCUUCAAGCCAGACCAGGUUCGAAGGUUCUACCAGCUCCUUAUGUGAAAGUAUACUUAGUUAACGGUAAAAAAUGUAUAGCGAAAGCGAAAACAACUACUGCAAGGAGAACCUUAGAUCCUUGGUACCAACAACAGUUAGCUUUUAAGGAAAAUACUCAAGGCUGUAUAUUGCAAGUGACGGUAUGGGGUGACUACGGUAGAUUAGAAGGAAAGAAAAUCUUCAUGGGUGUGGCCCAAAUAAUGCUCGACGACUUAAAUUUGAAAAAUAUCGUCGAAGGCUGGUACAAAUUAUUCGGAACGACUUCCCUGGUUAGUGGCGCACCCUCUAUUGGUCUAUCUAGUCGCGGAUCUUCGGCUAGUCUUGAUUCUAUCAAAUUAUAACCUAAAUUACACCCUUCGUCACUCAUUACCACAUGAGUGAAAACACGUUAUUUUGUUUUUUUGCUCGUUUCCACUACUAACCUUUAGCACCUUUUUCAUGUCAUUUAAUCACAAAAGUUUUCACCGAUGGUAUCCUCCACAACAUGAAUAGUGAGAAGAAUCAUCCUUCAUUUUUUAUAUAGAUAAGGAUUAACAUUUUUUCAAAAGUGCUUAAAAGACGCUAUGAAUUAAACACCUUUACACGCUACUUUGUGAGUAAACAAAACUGAAAAAAAUAUGAAAGAAAACGUAGUGUAGAAAAAAGCCGAAAUAGAUCCAGAUUAGUGUAACCGAAAUGAACAGUGUAGAUACGCGCACAGCUCUAAUAUAAUAGUGUCAAAUAGUGUCACAGGAAAUCAUAACUAAGUAUGAAUUAUAUACCCAGAUUGUCCAGAAAAUACACAAGAUUAAAUCUUCAAUUAUCAAGAUAUAUUCACUAUUUUUAUGCUAUAUAACAAAGAAAUACUCUGAUUAUUGUCUUUACAAACUUUCUAUUCUCAACUAGACUGCCAUAUUUCAAUUUCAAGUCUAUUUUUCGAAGAAAACUAGUAAACUAAAACAUUUUCACGCAUAGAGCACGUGAUCAGGGUUUAAACGUCAGGACCGCACUUCGCACUUAAGAAAUAAUUUACUGAUUAAUAAUUCUUCUUCUUACGACGCUGAUUCGCUUCGGAAGUUUGCGAUACAAAUGGCUAUUGUCGCACGAGAAACCGCAGCUCUGAAAGAAAAUUUCUGUCCGAGUCAUCUGCGCCUUGAUUGUCGUGUGUAUUUAUCCAUUUGCUGUAGGAUCUCUUUGUUUGUCUUAUGUUUCGUCCAAGAUAUCCGCAGCAAUCGUACAUUUCGAACGCAUCAAUUUUCAUCUUUGUUGCCGCAUCCAAGGUCCAACCAAUUCGCAUCAGUCCAGAAGAAGCUUUCUGGUCCGGAGCUCCAAGCUGAGGUUGCGAUUUGCUAAAAGUGUCCUCAUGUUGUUCAAAGUUUUCCGCGCUUGCUCGAUUCUUGAUCUGAUUUCGAGUUUUUUCGUCGCGUUGGUAUCUUAGAGAUGACACUUGUUCAAUGAACUAACUCUCCAUGGAGUCUUAGCGUGUCGUUUCUUUGUAGUUUUGAGAAUACCAUCUAUAAAUAAUCAUAUACAAUUAUUAUUACAAAAAUAUUAAAUAUAAACGUCUAUAUCUGCAUUUGCAUACCAGUGACAAUUUUGAUUUUGGCUUCGAACUUUUCCUGGACAUGCUCAAUAUAGUUUUUUCCCAAAUCAAGUGUAAUUCUCUAAUGGCUUCAGGAAAAAUUUGAGUGUAGUCACUUUAAGAAGAUACUACCAAAAACUUUGUCUUUUUAGAAGCAACUUCAACAGUCUUGUCAUCAUUUUUCACAUUUCACAGGAGGAGUAUAGCUAAUGACAACAAUUUCAUCAUCUUAUCUAACGGUUUCUUCAGAGAUACGGCGCUCGCCUCUGCCGCGCGGUUUUUCAUUGGUGGUUUAUUAUGUUUGAACCAAUAACGACCCGUAUUUCGCCCGGGAUGUUCUCGUGCUGAUCACAUACUGAUCAUUGUGUUGGUUUACUAUUUUUCUCCGAUAAAUAGAUUUUAGCUGUGAAAUUGAAAUGUUUUUCGACCUUUUAGUGGUACUAUUACCAAAAUAUUUAAUAAUCAACGCAUCUUAACGUUAAAUUCAUAGUAGUUUUCAAUUUUAUACUAAAUUUGAGUGAAAACUGUUGUUACUAUGCUAGAUUAUUUAUUUUUUCCCUUGUAACUUAUCGUUUAUCUAUAUAAAUACGCAGUUAUUUAAUAUUCUCUUUGGAAUUUAUGUAUUAAAGCAGUUUCUGGUCUAUAAUUGUCCUGAUCUAGUUAUGAGUGAAAGGACCCUGCAAGACGUAAACCAAAAACACACAUGCAGCCAAAGACCGAAACUUAUGAGUAUUUCUUCAUGUAAAUUUCUUAUUUCUUGGACCUUUUGAUGUAUUAAUGCUUCUAAAUGUUUGGAUUUUGACAUUUCGUCUUUCUUUAAAGAAAUAUUAAAAAAAAACUAAUUUGUAAACGGAAGAAACCUAAAAGCAACAACAUUUAGAUUUAUUUAUAUGUAUAUAGCAUCUAACUUGGUCGUAUUGGAUUAAUUAAUGAUAUUAAUAGAAUCAAUAUCUAUGAUAAAAUCAGUUCAACGAAAUAGUAUUAAGUUCAAAAAUAUAAAAGAUCCUGUUGAUCUUAUUAUCGCCAAAGUUUAUCAGUAUUAGCAGUCUUUUUCGAAAAUUAUAAGCAUAAUUUUUCAAAAAAAAAAAAAUUAAAUUAUUCUGGACAAUCUGUAAACGUUUGAAGCGACCAAAUAAGAACAAUCUGAUAGUUUCUGAUCUGAAAUUUUUGUAUUAAAACAUUUAGUGAAAGUAACACAUUUUUCAAAAUUUUAUGGUAUGUACAAUGUACACGUUUUGAGAGUAUCAUUUUGACUUUAUUUUCAAAAAGUGAAGUAUCAAGCUGACAUGUAGACAUUUUAUAUGAUUAUUAGUAAUUCAGUAUUCAUAAUUGAAAACUACAUUCAUGUAGCCAAUGUUUUUAGUCUUACUUUUCGUUAUUUUGUGUUAUUUUGAAAAAAACCAUCACACAAUUUUUGUUCAUAACUUUAUUAAUAGUGUGUAAUAUUUUGUACUUUCUUUGGCGGAUUUUAAAUUAUUCAAAGGCAAAAAAUAGCCGGUUGAGUGAAAAUUGGCAAACAAUUUCUCAAUAAGAUGCAUUUGGAGAGAAAAACUGAAAAAGGGUUAGCGCAGGACAAAAAAAUUUUUCAUUUCUUUAUUAUAAUUUGAAUACCGAAACUUUGAACUCAAAACUUUCUCAAGAGAUUGAAAGUUUAUUAAAUUUUCUACAAAAAAUAUCUGUUGCACUUUUUGCGUACAAUUAGUCUUUUUCUCACAAAAAGAGAUUGAAACCCGGGAUGUAAAGUUUCCAAACUUUGUUUAGUUGAAAAUCAACAAGUGUGUCAUGUUUCUGGAAAAUCUGGAAGAACAAAAAAAUUUCAAAUUGAGCAACAAAACAAAACGUAUUUUUGGUGAUGCCCAAUUAGACCGAGAGCUUGAAAUUUACAAAAAUCUUUAUUUUCACGUCAUCUACUUACUACGGAAUUUUUCGCAUCAAAUCCCAGAACACCCUGUGUGCUGUUAAUAGACAAAUAUCAUCCUCGAUUUCAAAUCCUCCAGUUCUCAAACAGGCUCCAGAUUAUCUGCUGAUUAUCCAAUCUAUCACAGUAUUAAACAGAUAGUCCGUACUCUUUCAAUAUUUUUCUCUAUUGAUCGAGUCAAUUGCUUUUUUAAAGUCUAUAAAAUUUAACCAGAUAUCUUUAUUCUGCUCUUUCGUUUGUUUCAAUAUUAAUUAACCAGUACUGCGGUGGAUUUCCGAAAAAAAUCGAUUGGAAAAUGAACUGGAGGUCUCGACAGGCAAAACAGAUUUUGGUGAAGUUAUUAAAAAGCCUGUUUUCAAUCGCGAUUUAUUAGAAAAGGACUAAUUAUACGCGAAAAGGAUAAAACUUCUUUUUUGUAGGAAAUUUAAUAAACUUUUAUUCGGUAUGAAAAAUUUCGUCCUGUAUUCAAAUUAUAAUAAAAAAAAUCAAUUUUUAAUUUUAAAUUCAAACUUCAGGCAGCAAUUUUUGGUCGAAUAAUUUAUGCCAAACUUGAAACUGUUUUCACCCCAAAAUCUCGAUCUACUGUACUUAAUAAUGUCGAAUAUCGUGGUGGACUGUUUUCUUUGGCCCCCCUAUUUAAUUAAUUUAUUAUUAAUGUCUGUAAUAAGACUGAAUACUUUUGAAUAUUAUUGAAAAAUUAAUACAAAAAUUUCAUACGAAUCAUCACAGUCGCUUUAUUUAAAAAAAAAAAUGCUUCAUUGGAAUUGAACUCGCUUUAUUACUUGGAACAUAUACGAGGACUUAAGGUAAUGUUGAUGAUUAUGUAAAAUAUAUAUUUAACAAAAUGACAUAGAAUUGUAUAUGAAACCUUUAAUGUAACAUAUAGAUAUACUUAAAUUGUUGAACUGCAUGUGAUAAUAAUAUUAUGUUGGCUGUUCGAAUUCCCCAAGCUUAUAAAGAAAAAUAAAAAAAAAUAUCCUCCGAUCCAGAAAAAAAAAUAAGUAAUGUUAAUCAUAUUAUUUUUAAUAAGAAGACAUUAUACGCGCCCGAACGAAUCACAAAUAAGCUCGAAAUUUUAGAUAAAACGAGCGAUUUUAUUCUGACGGGAAAUUUAGUUGUUCAAAAUAACAUUUUCGUUGAACAAAUUCGUACAAAUCAAUAAGAAAAAGUUAAUAACAAAGGCAAUUCGAUUUGCGUUUCAGACAUCAUUACCUCCAGCUCAGUUAAGAGUCGAUUAUAUUAACCGGCGAGCUUACACAAAUAAUAAGCUUACCUGGAAAACGCUUUUAGAUACUAAUAAUAAUAAUAAUAAUAAUAAUAAUUGAAAUCAGCAGUUAUUUUAUAAUAUAAACUGUUCAAUUAGUUACGAAAAGAACUUUCACACAGAUUAAUUUGUGUCUUGUAGUGCGAAACAUUGUUAUUAAUAAACUUUUGACGGUAUUCAUCACGAAAAACCAUAAAUGGAAGAACAAAUUUCCGUCCAGGUCAUGUUCUAUUGAACAUUUUAAAAAGGUAAUGUCGACGAGAUAUACAAUAAAGAGGUGUAGCUAUUAAGUAAAAAGACUAGUAAGCAUGUCCAAAAGGUUAACGACUGUCAUCUCCUAAAGCCUACUCUUUCGAAUGCGAUGUCUGCUGUGACUGUAGUCAAACCAGUGUAGCCGUUGCCUUCGUUUGUAUACACGCAGUCGUUUUGUGCAACGGGUUGUCAUGAAAUUUCACAAGACACUUGAAAAAACUGCUACUGCAACUUAUAUUACAGUAUGGCGAUGAAUUCUUGUUCAAAAUGACAAUGAAGAUGAUACACAAAGAAAAUAAUGACAAAUAAUGUGUGGCGGCAAAUUCUACAUGACAAUUUUAACAUGCGACAACUGUGUGUGAAAUUAAUGCCUCAUUUCGCACUGUCCGUUAAGUGGUUUCAGCAAAGUACAACAUACCAAUUUUAGUUCACCACCUUAUCGCCGGAUCUGGCACCGUGCGACUUUUACCCCGUUUCUAAGAUCAAAUCUUCAUUCAAACGUAAAAUAAUUGAGCCUGUUGAAGCAGUGAUUGACAGGAAGACUUCCUGCACUGUUUCGAGCAAUAAAAAAUUCACAUGGAGUGGUGUUGGGAAAAGAAAA